CAAUAUUCUUCUCUUGAAAAACAUUAGGAAGCUGAGGUUUGAUUUUGUGAAAUUUGAGUGGAGUGCAAUUAACGUUUUGAGCAAGUUACCAAGACUUGAGGUGCUCAAGUUAACGUAUGCUGACCUUGGCAAAAAGUGGGAAGUACCAGAGAAUGUGAAAUUCUGCCACUUAAUUUAUUUGGGAAUUUCGUCUGGUAAACUCAACCAUUGGGAAGUUGGUGCUGAUAAUUUUCCAAAACUUGAGCGCCUAUUCCUUAACAAAUGCUAUAAAUUGAGAGAGAUCCCGAAUAGCUUAGCAGAAAUUCCAACAUUGAACUUAAUCCACUUAGAGAGGUGUCAUCCUUCUGCAGUGAUGUCAGCCAAGCAAAUUGAGGCUGAACAGCAUGACUAUGGAAAUGAGAAUAUGGUUGUCAUUGAGAUAAACACAGGACAGCUAGCUUGAAGAUGACUCCGAUGAAGCUUGGCGAGUUUGAUGAAGAUGAGGAGUAGAUGAUGCAAAGCUAUAGCAAAGAAAGACUCUAAUGCUGCUAAUUAAUUGCAACAAAAGAAGGGUGUGGGAAGAUCAGAGCAGAUGGUUGUUAGUUGUGGCUGUUUUUGGCGUUUGAAAUGGUUUCUGGUUCACAGGCACAACUAAUGCUGGGAUUGGUUACUCCUCAAAUGUUACAGAUGCCUAAUAUUCGGCAGUCCUCUGUUCCUCCACCUCAUUCCAUAUUGCCACAAUCAUCGCAAUCAACAGCUAGCAGUUCGAAC